rnacentral:rRNA from 1 species
GACGAACGCUGGCGGCGUGCUUAACACAUGCAAGUCGAACGGAAAGGCCCUGCUUUUGUGGGGUGCUCGAGUGGCGAACGGGUGAGUAACACGUGAGUAACCUGCCCUUGACUUUGGGAUAACUUCAGGAAACUGGGGCUAAUACCGGAUAGGAGCUCCUGCUGCAUGGUGGGGGUUGGAAAGUUUCGGCGGUUGGGGAUGGACUCGCGGCUUAUCAGCUUGUUGGUGGGGUAGUGGCUUACCAAGGCUUUGACGGGUAGCCGGCCUGAGAGGGUGACCGGCCACAUUGGGACUGAGAUACGGCCCAGACUCCUACGGGAGGCAGCAGUGGGGAAUAUUACACAAUGGGCGGAAGCCUGAUGCAGCAACGCCGGGUGCGGGAUGACGGCCUUCGGGUUGUAAACCGCUUUCGCCUGUGACGAAGCGUGAGUGACGGUAAUGGGUAAAGAAGCACCGGCUAACUACGUG